UGCAAGUAGAACGCUGAAGAGAGGAGCUUGCUCUUCUUGGAUGAGUUGCGAACGGGUGAGUAACGCGUAGGUAACCUGCCUUGUAGCGGGGGAUAACUAUUGGAAACGAUAGCUAAUACCGCAUAACAAUGGAUGACACAUGUCAUUUAUUUGAAAGGGGCAAUUGCUCCACUACAAGAUGGACCUGCGUUGUAUUAGCUAGUAGGUGAGGUAAUGGCUCACCUAGGCGACGAUACAUAGCCGACCUGAGAGGGUGAUCGGCCACACUGGGACUGAGACACGGCCCAGACUCCUACGGGAGGCAGCAGUAGGGAAUCUUCGGCAAUGGGGGCAACCCUGACCGAGCAACGCCGCGUGAGUGAAGAAGGUUUUCGGAUCGUAAAGCUCUGUUGUAAGUCAAGAACGGGUGUGAGAGUGGAAAGUUCACACUGUGACGGUAGCUUACCAGAAAGGGACGGCUAACUACGUGCCAGCAGCCGCGGUAAUACGUAGGUCCCGAGCGUUGUCCGGAUUUAUUGGGCGUAAAGCGAGCGCAGGCGGUUUGAUAAGUCUGAAGUUAAAGGCUGUGGCUCAACCAUAGUUCGCUUUGGAAACUGUCAAACUUGAGUGCAGAAGGGGAGAGUGGAAUUCCAUGUGUAGCGGUGAAAUGCGUAGAUAUAUGGAGGAACACCGGUGGCGAAAGCGGCUCUCUGGUCUGUAACUGACGCUGAGGCUCGAAAGCGUGGGGAGCGAACAGGAUUAGAUACCCUGGUAGUCCACGCCGUAAACGAUGAGUGCUAGGUGUUGGAUCCUUUCCGGGAUUCAGUGCCGCAGCUAACGCAUUAAGCACUCCGCCUGGGGAGUACGACCGCAAGGUUGAAACUCAAAGGAAUUGACGGGGGCCCGCACAAGCGGUGGAGCAUGUGGUUUAAUUCGAAGCAACGCGAAGAACCUUACCAGGUCUUGACAUCCCGAUGCUAUUUCUAGAGAUAGAAAGUUACUUCGGUACAUCGGUGACAGGUGGUGCAUGGUUGUCGUCAGCUCGUGUCGUGAGAUGUUGGGUUAAGUCCCGCAACGAGCGCAACCCCUAUUGUUAGUUGCCAUCAUUCAGUUGGGCACUCUAGCGAGACUGCCGGUAAUAAACCGGAGGAAGGUGGGGAUGACGUCAAAUCAUCAUGCCCCUUAUGACCUGGGCUACACACGUGCUACAAUGGUUGGUACAACGAGUUGCGAGUCGGUGACGGCGAGCUAAUCUCUUAAAGCCAAUCUCAGUUCGGAUUGUAGGCUGCAACUCGCCUACAUGAAGUCGGAAUCGCUAGUAAUCGCGGAUCAGCACGCCGCGGUGAAUACGUUCCCGGGCCUUGUACACACCGCCCGUCACACCACGAGAGUUUGUAACACCCGAAGUCGGUGAGGUAACCUUUGGAG
rnacentral:rRNA from 1 species